rnacentral:rRNA from 1 species
AACGAACGCUGGCGGCAGGCCUAACACAUGCAAGUCGAGCGAGGACUUCGGUCCUAGCGGCGGACGGGUGAGUAACGCGUGGGAACGUGCCCUUUGGUACGGAAUAGCCCCGGGAAACUGGGAGUAAUACCGUAUGGCGUCUUCGGACUAAAGAUUUAUCGCCAAAGGAUCGGCCCGCGUUUGGAUUAGGUAGUUGGUGGGGUAAUGGCCUACCAAGCCGACGAUCCAUAGCUGGUUUGAGAGGAUGAUCAGCCACACUGGGACUGAGACACGGCCCAGACUCCUACGGGAGGCAGCAGUGGGGAAUCUUAGACAAUGGGGGCAACCCUGAUCUAGCCAUGCCGCGUGAGUGAUGAAGGCCCCUAGGGUUGUAAAGCUCUUUCAGCUGGGAAGAUAAUGACGGUACCAGCAGAAGAAGCCCCGGCUAACUCCGUG